CAGGAUUGCCAUGGUACCGAGCUCCUCCCAGGUCUUUGAAGUGAAGGCUUGACCGUGUAAAAGGACCACUUGCAGCCUGCAGAACAUGAGAGGUGGAUAAAUAUUUAAACCAACACAGGUAAAGCUUCCCGGAAGAACAGAGGUGGGUCUCCGGGUAACUGCCCAGUGCGAAUGGAUACAUUGAUAGGGGUUAGCACGGGGGGCGAGGUGGCCAGCACCGCUGAUCGUUGAGCUUUUAGAGACGGCUCCAUGCUGCCCUGGCGAAUGGACGGCAGCAGAAGAUACAGCAGCAGCGUGGCCAAAAGCACCAGGCACAAGACAACGAGGCGGUUCCGCAAGAAAUUCAUUUCAUCCAGAGGAACUGACCUACAAAAAGGAGGAGAAAAUACAUUGUUCUGAAAAACCACAAGACUUGA